UCCUUGAAUCCGACCAAUGGAUGGAUUCGC
rnacentral:piRNA from 1 species